AGAGUUUGAUCAUGGCUCAGAUUGAACGCUGGCGGCAGGCCUAACACAUGCAAGUCGAGCGGUAGCACAGAGAGCUUGCUCUCGGGUGACGAGCGGCGGACGGGUGAGUAAUGUCUGGGAAACUGCCUGAUGGAGGGGGAUAACUACUGGAAACGGUAGCUAAUACCGCAUAAUGUCGCAAGACCAAAGUGGGGGACCUUCGGGCCUCAUGCCAUCAGAUGUGCCCAGAUGGGAUUAGCUAGUAGGUGGGGUAACGGCUCACCUAGGCGACGAUCCCUAGCUGGUCUGAGAGGAUGACCAGCCACACUGGAACUGAGACACGGUCCAGACUCCUACGGGAGGCAGCAGUGGGGAAUAUUGCACAAUGGGCGCAAGCCUGAUGCAGCCAUGCCGCGUGUGUGAAGAAGGCCUUCGGGUUGUAAAGCACUUUCAGCGGGGAGGAAGGCGNCGAUUGACGUUACCCGCAGAAGAAGCACCGGCUAACUCCGUGCCAGCAGCCGCGGUAAUACGGAGGGUGCAAGCGUUAAUCGGAAUUACUGGGCGUAAAGCGCACGCAGGCGGUCUGUCAAGUCGGAUGUGAAAUCCCCGGGCUUAACCUGGGAACUGCAUUCGAAACUGGCAGGCUAGAGUCUUGUAGAGGGGGGUAGAAUUCCAGGUGUAGCGGUGAAAUGCGUAGAGAUCUGGAGGAAUACCGGUGGCGAAGGCGGCCCCCUGGACAAAGACUGACGCUCAGGUGCGAAAGCGUGGGGAGCAAACAGGAUUAGAUACCCUGGUAGUCCACGCCGUAAACGAUGUCGAUUUGGAGGUUGUGCCCUUGAGGCGUGGCUUCCGGAGCUAACGCGUUAAAUCGACCGCCUGGGGAGUACGGCCGCAAGGUUAAAACUCAAAUGAAUUGACGGGGGCCCGCACAAGCGGUGGAGCAUGUGGUUUAAUUCGAUGCAACGCGAAGAACCUUACCUGGUCUUGACAUCCACAGAACUUUCCAGAGAUGGAUUGGUGCCUUCGGGAACUGUGAGACAGGUGCUGCAUGGCUGUCGUCAGCUCGUGUUGUGAAAUGUUGGGUUAAGUCCCGCAACGAGCGCAACCCUUAUCCUUUGUUGCCAGCGGUUAGGCCGGGAACUCAAAGGAGACUGCCAGUGAUAAACUGGAGGAAGGUGGGGAUGACGUCAAGUCAUCAUGGCCCUUACGACCAGGGCUACACACGUGCUACAAUGGCAUAUACAAAGAGAAGCGACCUCGCGAGAGCAAGCGGACCUCAUAAAGUAUGUCGUAGUCCGGAUUGGAGUCUGCAACUCGACUCCAUGAAGUCGGAAUCGCUAGUAAUCGUAGAUCAGAAUGCUACGGUGAAUACGUUCCCGGGCCUUGUACACACCGCCCGUCACACCAUGGGAGUGGGUUGCAAAAGAAGUAGGUAGCUUAACCUUCGGGAGGGCGCUUACCACUUUGUGAUUCAUGACUGGGGUGAAGUCGUAACAAGGUAACCGUAGGGGAACCUGCGGUUGGAUCACCU
rnacentral:rRNA from 1 species